UGGAACGUAUUCGUGGAUCAUCUUGCACACCUAACGCCCGGCUUCAUCGGCAGUUGAAGAACUUCAAGGUCGAAAAUUCGAUAUUAUAACGGUACGUGUUUCAUCUCGAAGGACACCGUUGGGUUCCUGUCGUUCCCCAAUUACUUCGGGCCCAGAUAUUGGAGACCUUUCACGACUAUCCCACUGCCUGUCACUUUGGUUUCCAUAAAACCUAUGAGCGAAUUCCCAGCCGCUUCUCUUGGCCUGGACUUGCCACCAGCGUAGUGAAAUACGUGGCUUCCUCUUCGCUCUGCCAACACCGCAAACGACUGACCUCACCUCCGGCUGGACUGCUCCAACCUGUCCCGUGUCCUGAAGCUCCUUUCGCAGUCAUUGGUAUUGACCUCUAUGGACCGCUACCCUUAACCACCGGCGGUAAACGAUGGAUCGUCACAGCUGUAGACAACUUGACAUGGUACGCUGAAACAGCCGCACUAUCUUCGGGAUCCGCAGAGGAGGUUGCAGCCUUUUUUUUAGAAGCCAUCUUUUUACGGCACGGAGCCCCAGGUGUCCUUUUGAGUGACCGCGGCAGGACCUUUCUCUCUAAACUCCUCGACGAUGUUCUCCGUGCGUCCAAUACCAUCCAUAAAUCGAUUUCCAGCUACCACCCUCAAACUAAUGGUCUCACAGAGCGCUUUCAUCGCACGCUGUCUGACAUAUCUAUGUACAUCAGCCCUGACCUCCCCACUUGGGAUGUCCUUCUACCAUUCGUCACUUUCGCAUACAACACGGCCGUCCAACGCACUACGGGGUACUCGCCCCUUUUUCCUUGUGUAUGGUCGCCAACCGCUCACUAUCCUCGACGUUUCUUUCUUCAGUGUCCCCGUGCCUUCGUCCACAUCAGUGUGUGAGCAGUUCGUUUCGCGCAUUGCCCGGUGUCGCGAACGUGCCCGCCUCAACACCGACGCCAGUCAACAAGACCGCAAAAUGCGCUAUGAUGCAUCUCACCGUGUCGUUGCCUUCCACCCUGGAGACGAAGUGUUACUGUGGAAGCUCCUGGACUGUGCGAGAAAUUUCAGUCCCGUUUUAUCGGGCCCUACAUUGUUGGGGAACAGACUUCGCCAGUGAACUAUCGUGUCACUCCAGUUGUUUCGCCUUCGGACGUCCGCUGCCGUGCCACAGAGAUUGUGCAUGUUUCGCGUUUAAAGCCUUUCAUAUGGCGUUUCCCGCCAUAACCAGCGGCCAGGUUGGCCGCUUCCACACUCGGGGGAAAUUGUGGGAGCAUUAUAUUACCCCUUCAUCUUCUUCAUCUGUAUAUAUUCAUCAUCAUGGCCUGCGCCAUCGUCUUCAGCGCGCGAGCUGCGAAAUAAACCAUUGCGGCUUAACAGCUGUCUCGCAGAAAAAAUAAAAAAAUGUAUAAACACUGGUGUUGAAGGGCGGUAUUAAUACUGACUGUCUUAGCUGCGUAGACUAAUUUUCAGCUUAUACUCAUCACUACAAUAAUUAUUCUAAAGUGUAUGUUGUGAGUUAUGUAGAACAAAAUGUAUCCUGUUUUACUGAAUAGAAGGUGCUUGUGAAGUCUUCUUUUAAAUGAGUUCAGUGAAUCCAGUGACGAUACCAAACAAAACCGCAGCAAUCAGUAACUCGGGUACCAGAUUAUGUGCGCGAGUGUAAUUGUAUACAAAAAUGUUUUUGCUUUGCUCUGGACGACUAAUCUGAAAAUGACUGAUAUUAGUAUUUCAAUUGCAGCUAUUUUACCAGUGAAUGAUGUCUGUGUCGGUUUGCGCUCAGUUUCUCAGCCAUGGGGGCUUGUUUACAAUAGCAGUGCCACUGCCGUCCAUCGAGUGGUGUUCUUUGUUCGGGUAAGCUGUGACAUUUUAUCGUAUAUCGGCCUUGCAUAAGCAGUCUUACUGGACAAUAAGUGCGAAUGUUGGUGGAACCACGAUGCCUAUGCAGGUAGAAUAAUUUUUGGAGAUGCAUCCAAAAUAUAAUUGAUUUGUUUUCCUGUGGCAACAAAUUGGUUCAGCAUGAGCACGUUGACUUACAUUGUUUCAUACCUCACUUGGACGCAGAUAUGAGUGGUGUUUGAAAAACACUAAUAGUGCCGGAAUUCAGGAUUUUAGGCAGCAGAUAAAACAUGCACCAGUCAAAUUAUUGUUUCUCUAGUGUUGCGUUAAUGAGUAUGCAAAAACACUGCAUACUGAUCGCUAGCACUGUCAUGCAUGGGAUCCACGGUAACUAAGCUUAGCCAAUGGUAGAGUGUCCGUGGUACACUCUACCAUGGAUUUUAACCAACUAGCCCGGCAACGUGUUUUAGCCAACGGUAAACUCACUCUUAACUAGUGUGGAGCUAACCUUAAUAGGGGGAAUAUGCGCCGACGUAAUUACUUAAGUACGACAUUGCACGGCAACAUAACAAUGUAGAAUUAUAGCCUGAGCACGCAGCUGUGCCUUAACAAUUAUCUCUCACGUAGACCGGCACAUGUACCCGAUUGGCACGCGGUGAUACCAUUCCUGUACUUUCGCAGGAAGGACGCAAGCAUUGCUGAGGAGCCAUUUGACCUGCCGCCACACUAAUGCUGUAUUUCACAAAGCCGAAGGCAUCUGCAAGCAGCCAGUCAUUCCAAUUCUCAACUAAUCCUUCCUCUUGUCAGUCCAUUUCUAGUGUCUAGUCAUGCAAUUUUUUUAGUAAAGCACAAUAAACACAGGUUUGUUCAGACUCAA